GUAUGGGAGAUGCUGCAUUUUCCCUUCUUUAAUGCUUGUUUGCAUGAAUGUGUGUUUUUGUGAGAGAAGCAGAUUUGCUUGCAAUAAAAAGCAUAUGCGUGUUCACUUUGGUGGUUAUGAGGGUGUGUAUAAUGCACUCACAGUCUGAAGUUGCACAGAGGGAAAAGUUUAAUUUUUCUGUCACUUCUAGUAAGGAGUAAGUUUUCAAGUUAUACAAGUAAGCUUAUGCUUAAACAUUUUAUUACUUACUAAUGUGCUGGUUGAGGGUUUAGAUAGGGUUUCUAUUGUCUUCCCUAGCUGAUUAAUAUUCAGAGUAUUCAGAACAGCUAUAACUUCUAUCUUUGGUUUUCCACAGAUAUUGGUAUUAACCUGACAGAUCCUAUGUUCAGAGGAAUCUACAGGGGAACACAGAAACAUCAAGAUGACUUUCUGGAUGUAAUAGAGAGAGCAGUCAAAGUUGGCAUUAAAAAGUUUUUGAUUACAGGUGGAAGUCUAGAAGAUAGUAAAGAUGCAUUGCAGCUGGCACAGACAAAUGAUAUGUUUUUCAGUACAGUUGGCUGUCAUCCUACUCGCUGUGGAGAAUUUGAGCAGGGUAGCCCUGAACAGUAUUUAUCUGAAUUAAAAAAUCUGAUUGAAAAAAACAGGACAAAGGUAAUAGCAGUUGGAGAAUGUGGCUUAGAUUUCGAUAGAUUAGAAUUUUGCCCAAAGGACAUCCAACUCAAGUAUUUUGAAAAACAAUUUGACUUAUCAGAACAGAUGCAGCUGCCCAUGUUUCUGCACUGUAGAAACUCACAUGCUGAAUUUUUAGACAUAAUGAGAAGAAACAGAGAUAGAGUUGUAGGAGGGGUGGUACAUUCUUUUGAUGGCACAAAGGAACAAGCAGCAGCUCUAAUAGAUUUGGAUCUUUAUAUCGGAAUAAAUGGCUGUUCACUGAAAACAGAAGCCAACUUGGAAACACUGAAAUCAAUUCCUAGUGAACGAUUAAUGAUAGAGACUGAUGCACCUUGGUGUGGAGUGAAAAAUACUCAUGCUGGAUCAAAAUACAUUAAAACUACAUUUCCUACAAAAAAGAAAUGGGAAAAAGGGCACUGCUUGAAGGACAGAAAUGAACCCUGCCAUAUAAUGUAAUAUUUAAAACUGAUCCAGCCUUGGGGAUCAGGGGACAGUCCCCCAGGUGGGACAGUGCUGAGGCACCAGCAGUGCCUGUGACAUCAACGGCCACAACAUGCAUUUUGUCAGGGAUGUUUUUUCCUUCUGCUGUUAUACUUCAAACAAUCUGAUCCUGUGAAAUUCAGAUAUGAAUGACAGCAGCCAAGAUACAGAGUAGUGAAAGAAACUCCAGGGGCUUAUGAACAGAAUUGUCAAAUACUGGAAAUAAUGGCGGCAGUAAGAGAAGAUGACCCACUUGAGUUGGCCAAUACUCUAUAUAACAACACCAUUAAAGUCUUCUUUCCAAAUA